CUGACUUCUGGACUACAGCAAGAAAGUACCGAUGGAUUACUUUACAUAACUAUGUUCACUAAAAUAAUUAUAAUAAUAAAAGACACAAAAGUUGGAAUAGCACUUCAGAUGGACACAUAUCAAAUGUCUACAGCAAUGAUAUGGAGGAAUUUAAUUUGACAAAUACAAGAUAACUCUCUCUUUUCAAAGAAAAAGAAAGGCCUUCCAGUGAGACCUAAACAAACAAGAGCACUGGACUGUCACCAACUGUAUGAAGUUUGACAAAAACAAGAGCCAGAUUCUGCACCUUGGAUGGGGAAAUCCUGGAUGUAUGGACAGACUGAGGAUGAGAGGCUGAACAGCAGCCUUGCAAAAUGGGACCCUGGGGUCCUGGUUGAUGGCAAGUUGAACAUGUUGUCUUUCAACUGGGAUUGAACACCUCACUAUUUUUAAAACAAGCUAAAAUAACCACAGGAAAUGCGUAGAUUAAAUUUUUUCACUUGUGACAGUAUGAUACACGGUCUUCGACAUUCUCCCAAGGGCAAGUGGAGGGGCAGGUACCAAUCUCUAUACCCUUGUAACUUGUCACAAGACUGGAGGAAGCAGCACAAAGCUGAUUUGCGGGAGGUUUAGUUUGGAUAUCAGGGCUGGGCAGUGACAGUACUCUCAGGCUCAUGGUGUGACUCUUGGGGAUGGUGCUAUGCAGGGACAGAUGCUGGAUUCAAUGAUCCCUGUGGGUCUCUUCCAACUCAGUAUAUUCUGCAACUAUGAUUUGAUGAUAUGUUUUCUGAAUUUUAGCAAAGAAUUCAGCAGCACCUGGAAACCUCCAUGCUUUUUAUUUAAAAUUUUUCCAUAAGGCUUUCUGCUUAAAUUUCCAGGUUAUGUGAAACCUUAAGCAAGAACUUGCUUAGAAACUGCAUCAAAGUACUGUUUUUUCCCAGGAGUCAGAGUUAACAAGCAUAUAUUUUAGUCUAUUUUACUUUCUUUCCUUGUCAUUCUCAGGAAGUAGAAAUGGAUUGCUCUACCACUAUGGUACAUUCCGUCAAUAAAUUGUUGUUCUUCAACUGAAUAUUAAAACAGAUGUUACUAAGCAACUCAGAAUGAUGACAAUGGUAAUCAAGGUUUUGCCCAUUGUCUACCCACUCCCCACUCAGAGAAGAGUAUAGAUAGGGAGUUGGCUCUGGUCUCAAAGUCUCACUUUUAACAAUAUGCUUCCUGUACUUUGUAUCCUAUACUAAGUAUUUUUUAAAUUUCAGGUAUUUUUAUAUUCCUUAACCAUGUGAUUCACUGCAAAGGAACAAAAAUUAUUAUUUUCUGUGUAUUUUCAAUGAUUUUUUAAGGUACAGUAAAAUUAGAAACAAAAGUGGGAUGAGGGGGAUGUGUGCUUACAGGUAAAGAGUACCUACUUCCUGUGAGCUGUGGUUUUAUAGGGAGAGGUAAAAGAGUGAACAGAAGGUAGUAAAAUUAUGGGAUCAUUUCUAUUAAAUUCAAUUCAAAUGAAGAGGACCAAGUGCAGUAUCAAAAUAUAACAGAGCUGAUUGAGUUUAUUUCAGUUAAUGAGUUUAAUUUUCUUGUAGAUUUUGAGAUUAUUGAACAUAGCCAUUUAUCUGCUGAGCAGUGCUUGAAAUUAUUUAAAUUUGCCAUGUGGAAAUAGCCAAUACAAAAGUAUACUGUGUAUGCAGUUUGCUGAAGAGUGUAUGUAUGAAAUGUAUUAUUAACACAUUGAAAGGAGUUGCUGUAGAACAAAUUGUAGGCAUAUCCUAAAAAAAUACAUAGAUGGAAUUUUUUUCAUCCCUAUACAAAAUGUGAUGAAAGAAGGCAUAUGAGCUGUGUGAAAAUAUCUACUCUUAUACAUCUUGUUGCAAGUCAUCUGAGAGCUAGGUGUUCCGGCACUUUUGAGUUGGAAAAAUAUAUGAGCUGCAACAUGCUGUUUAUAUCACCAUCAAGCUUGAGAGAAUAAGUCCCUCUGGGCUUCUUUGUUGCAGAUCAGAAGGUGUCAUUUAAUAGCAGACUUUUACCUUCAAAUUGAAAAUGAGAAGGAAAAAGACAGAUGACAUCAGUGAGAAAA